rnacentral:rRNA from 1 species
UACGGAGGAUGCAAGCGUUAUCCGGAUUUAUUGGGUUUAAAGGGUGCGCAGGUUGUUUGAUAAGUCAGUGGUGAAAGUCCGUCGCUUAACGGUAGGAUUGCCAUUGAUACUGUUGGACUUGAAUAUGGAUGAGGUAGGCGGAAUGUGUAGUGUAGCGGUGAAAUGCAUAGAUAUUACACAGAACACCGAUUGCGAAGGCAGCUUACUAAUCCAUCAUUGACGCUGAGGCACGAAAGCGUGGGGAUCAAACAGGA